GUACCGUAAACUGGGGUCAAUCGGGACACAUGGGGCGAAUUGGGACAGCAGUUUUAACCAUGUUGGAGCACAAAAUUUUGAUUUUUCUGGUUGGUUUCGGUUAGAACAGACUCAGGCCAACAAAAUGUUGAACGGCCCGAGCGGUUUAGGCUUUCAGGAUUUUUGUGAUAUUUACUUGUAGAGUCAAAACAGAUCAGUAAACUUCACUUAUUUGUAUAUUACACUUUUUUAAAGAUUACAUUUUUGCGGUAACACUCUUAACUUUUUUACGCGCACGAUCACAUCACUUUGCAUUAAGAUCUUCGUCGAGCCAGUUCUCUAUGUUGAAGCCAGACUUGUCCUCCAGACCUCUGCGCCGAGCCAUGCCAGACUCGAAAUCUGCUACGUCCCUGGUUGACUCCACGGCGGCUAAGUCCCGGCGGACUCUUCGCGGCGGCUAAGUCCCGGCGGACUCUUCCCGGUGGCUAAGUCCCGGCGGACUGCGGCCUCCACCGCUAAGUCCGGCUGGACUGGGGCCUCUGCUACUGGUGGCUGCUGGCGGGUCCGGCUGGUCUGGGGCUUCUUCAGGAUCUGGAACUGGACUGGGCUUGAACUGGCUGGAACUAACUGGAACUAACUGGAACUAACUGCCCUCCUCAAGAAUUUUGGGGUUUUUAUAGUCAGUCCCCGAAAACUCUACUAAAUUUUGUUCUACUAAAAGUGGUCCGUUUCGAUGAGAAGCAUCGAUGAACCUCAUGAAUUAAAUUAUGCAGACCUCUGCAAUUCUUCAUGACUUUCCGUAUGGUGUAGUGAGUACACCUCAAAAUCGGAAGUCAUGGGUUCGAACCAUUGUCGUGAAACUUUAAAUUAUGUUAUUGGAAUAUCAAAAUUAUGUUCCUAAAACAUUCUCAAAAAUGUAUGUCAAUAAUGAGAAGGUCGAAUUCUCCAUUGAACCAACAUGCCAAUGAAUUUGGUUAAGCCACACCCUCAAUUUCCCCUGUGAAAUAACAUCGCACAUUCAUAAUUGAAAGCUUAACCAUUUUUUUGAUUGCCUAACAAUUGGCGAAAUUUAAUAAAGGGCUUUUCAGGUGAGGAUGACUCAUGAUCCACACCUGUACAUAAGCUUAAUUAUUUGUCGCGCAACGCGCGUCGGUGGGUAAAAUUAUUUAUGCUUGCGUCAGCGCGCAUGGUCAGAACUGUGGUGAGGUUCGAAAAUGGACAAAUUUAAUGAUUUAAAUUUGAGGUCGCUGCAUUCCCCCACACUUACCAGCUAGAUGUUUGUAUACUUGAAAAGCAUUAAGAACAUCUAUCGAAAGUUAUUUGUAGGUUGGAAUAAUAUUCCCAAAGUUAAUAAUUUAAAUUGUGAAAAAAAAUUACUUUGCAAAAAAUCAUAAAAAAACUUAAAUGGCUGGCUAUAAAAAUUGAUUUAAAAAAAUUGGUUCGGUUAAUCUCCCCCACACUUAUCAGCUAGAUGAUCGUCUGAAAGAAAUGAUCAUCUAUGGAAAGAAUAUUGUCGGGUGUAGUGAUCGCGCGUUUUACAAUUUGUUCUUCUUGUGCUUUCUUGUAAAUUGUUUUAUAAUUAUAAUUGCUCUUUUGAUUUUUCUACUGUAAAAUUAUUUUCAUUACUCUUUUGAUCUUCUGUCCUGUUAAAUUACCUGAAUUACCGUUUUGAACUUCUCUAUUAAAAAUAUUUUCGUUGAAACUGAUUUAAAUAAACUUGCAUUUGAAAUUAAUUUUCAUUAUCUAUCCUAAAAAAAUCAUUGCAUUUUUCCCACUGUAAGCAAAAUCUGUUGUAGAACUGUGUUGAUCGGCUGGUUGUUAUCGUCGUCGUCUUAUAUCAAAAAUUGUCUUUAUCGUGAGGCUAUUCAUUCCACAGUGACUUGGUCAAUUGAUCAGUUUUCGAGGCUAAGGUGUUGAAUUUCGUCGAUUAGUGCAAUUGUCGUUUCCAUCAUGAAUUAUGCUUCAUAACUCAACUGUGAGUUGACUGUGGUCAAUUUUG